rnacentral:lncRNA from 1 species
AAACUUGCUUGUUCACGAGAAUCACGUGGGGAGCGUGUUAAAAUUACAGAUUCCUCGGCUCCACCCGCAGGCCUACUGAAUCAGAAUCUCGAAGGGAGGUACUCCGGAACCUGUAUCUCUAACUAGGGCCCCAGAGGCUGCUUAUGAUCAGGUCCUGCCCUUCCCGAAAAGGAUGAAGCUCCAGCUGCAGUUCUGGGGAGGCCUGGACCCCAGCUCCGGAGGGGCCGGGCUACCAAGGCCGCUGGGCCUGGAGAGGCCCGUCCCUGGCCCAUCUUAUCAGCGCUCUGCAGGGUCUGGGCCUGCUGCUCGCGUCCUCCUGGGCUCCCAAGGCCACGGGUGGGUUGAUGGCUUGACAGCCGGCCUCCUGGCCCAGCAGACACUGAGUAGCCCGAGGGCACAAUCCACCUCUUCUCUCCAAGGCCAGCUGGAGGGACGAGGCACGACAAGGCCAUCCCUACAGCUAGCACUUCCCCUACAGCUGAGAGGGGGCCUAAACUACAGGACACAGUCCCAAGACCCUUAAGCCCUGGCAGCAUCCCGGGGUGGGCAGCAGGUGGAAGUGGAAAGAAGCCUGUGGAGCUGCCAGCAGGGAGAGGGGGUCGGACGUGAGGCUGAGAGGCCUCUGGGAACCCCUGUGCCAAGGGGCUGCUGGCACUGGGCAGCAGCACCCCAAAGCCCACGAGGAGUGUGCCCAGAGCAAGUGGCUCAGACCUGGGGCAUGGCUCGAGGGUGUCGGGCUGUAGCUGCUGGUCCCAGAGAGUGCAGGCCAGGGCAGGCAUCAGAACAGGAGUCGGAGGAGAAAGUGUUCUAGGAAGAGUCCAGUCCCCGAGUCCUGGUGGUGGCUGGCUGUAGCCUAGUGCAUGCUGUCUAGCUUGUGCGGCUGUGCUGCCUGAGUAUACAUACCCUAGCAACAUUCUCCUUGGUCAGCACGGGACAUCAGCUCUCCACCUGGCUCCUUCCUCUAGGGAGGGGACGGGGAGGCCUCCUAGGGUUAGCUGCAGGAGUUGGUCCUCAAGAAUCAGGAGCCCUUGAAAGGAGGAUGUGUGGUUCCCAUACAACUGAGGGUCGCCCUGGGCCCUACCCUUCCUGAGUCAGCUCUUGCUUCAAUUCCUUGAAGCACCCCAGCAUCCUUUCAAUAAAUGCCUGCCCUUUGUGGCCUGCAACCAGAGGAACUGCAACUAGCACACUCACUGAAGGAAUCCUGCUGCUGCUGCUGCUGCUGCUGCUGCUGCUAAAAACAACCGAAGUCAUGGAUGAGGGGGUGGAGGAUACUCUCAUCCCACCUCCAGACUGACAACAAAAAGACCUAAAGAUCUCUGUGUACCUGGGACUGUCUACCAUUGAAGAUUAGCCAUGGUAACUUGUUGAUUUAGUGAUCAACUUCCUGCAGAAGCCCAUAGGUCCACCUGGACUCUGCCCAGGCCAGCAUGUUCUGAAAAUGGAGGGCUCUGUCACCAUUCACUCAACAAAUGUUUAUUCUGCACUGACCGAGGGCCAGAUGUACUAAGAGCUGUGGACACAGCACUCCAACUUACCCCAGGGCUACUGAAAUCAGGGAUGGCUUCCCCAAAAGGCACACUAAGGAAAGUCUAUGUCACUAGAAGAGGCACCAAAAACAAAAAAUCAAAAAAGAAAAAAUACCAGAAACAGUUUGACAUUUGAUUUUUUUUAAGUAGUCCUCGUGGGAAAAAUCAGAACUUUGUUGUACUUCCUUACAUUCAUUUCCUGAUUACAUGAUGCUUUUGUUUUGAAUCACGUGUGGAGGGUGUCACCAAAACCUUUAGAUGCCUUGUCCUUAUGUGGCUCUGGACCCAGAUCCUGGCAAAUGUUACCAUCUCUGCCUCACAAGGAUCUGACAGAAUGCAGGCAGUUGGGGCUAUCCUUAGGAGAGACAGCUCUCCUUCGCAGUAGAUGCCCCUGGGUGAUAAAUCCAACUCUGACCACAAGGUGGCAAAAGAGUAAAUGACAAUUCCUCAUAUAUGUUUUGUAUGUUUAUAUAAAACUAUUGGUUUACAUAAAAUGCUCUCUAAAAAUAUUAAGAAAAAUGUAUGCUCCUUCACACAUUUUUGGAUUGAUGUCUGACAUUUUGCAUCAUAAAUGUCAAUUGGCUACAAAUAAUGUAAUUUGUGACAAAUGUUAAUAUUCAAAAAUAAAACUGUUAUGUCACUAUUUCACA